GGACUACUGGGGUUUCUAAUCCCGUUCGCUCCCCUGGCUUUCGUCCAUGAGCGUCAGUGACUUCCCAGGAGACUGCCUGCGCCUUUGGUGUUCCUCCGGAUCUCUACGCAUUUCACCACUCCACCCGGAAUUCCGUCUCCCUCUGAAGCCCUCAAGUCACCCAGUUUUCAUGAACCUGGCUGAGUUAAGCUCAACCCUGUCACCAUGAACUUGAGCGACCGCCUGCGGACCCUUUACGCCCAGUAACUCCGGACAACGCUCGCCCCCUACGUAUUACCGCGGCUGCUGGCAC
rnacentral:rRNA from 1 species